rnacentral:misc_RNA from 1 species
AAGAGUUAGGGUCUUCUAGGCCCGAUCUCCCAACCCUUUGUUUAUUGAACCUCUGUUGCUUCGGCGGACCCGUCUCACGGCCGCCGGAGGACCGCCGAAAGGCGUCCUCUGGCCAGCGUCCGCCGAUAGCCAACCACUUAAACUCUGAAUGUUAGUGUCGUCUGAGUACUAUACAAUAGUUA